UAACAGAAAGAAAGAAGAUGACGAUGAUGAUGCAGAGUGAGAGGAAAUACAGGUUUUUGCUUACGGGCGAUGACCAGUACGACGGCGACGUAAUCUUUGGACGUUGUUCACAUUAGCAUUGGAUGAAAAUUCCAACACCAAGAGGAUUGGCAAACAAAGAAAUCUCAAGUAGUAAAGUGAAAAGCUAAAUCAAGCCGAAGAGGCUGUCAAAAAAAGAUGUACAUAGGAAGAGAUUGACCUCGUGCUUUUUGCUAUCAUGAUAUGCUAUGAUGAUCAUGUCACCUGAGCAACAUUAAGCAGCAAAAUUUCUUUCAAAUUAAUUGGCUCUUACCUGAACCAAUCCAAUCUAACGCUAAAUCUUGCUUAUAACAAAAAGAGACUUUGCUAAUCUUGAUAUAUCUCGACCUUUUUCAUUAUUAAUAGCAUAUCUUCAAGAAAAUAAUGAAUGCUAACUUCUGUCACUUGCUUUCUAUUAGCUUUUCUUUCUCUCUCCGCUUUUUUAACGCUUACAAUCAGGUAAACCCUGAGUUUUAGGUCUUUGCGCUUAAUUGUGAAACGUUAAGAGAAAAAAAAGGAACGAAAAAUAAGCCAACUUAAAAAGAAAAGGAAAAGUCUCAAGAAAUAAGAGAAGCCUUCAUUAUCGUCAAUGGUACCCUUAAUUACUUGUUAAGCUGCAUUUUCAAAGUUGACAUGAUCGAAGCAGCAACACAAUUGGAUGUAAACUAAAACCAAUUGACAUUUGAUUAUUUUUCGGGCUUAUUAAUCACUGUUUUGCAGCUACAAAUUAUUUGUAUUUAGAUUAUUUGUUUUGCAAAUAUCUGAUACUUUUAUUUGGAAAUCAAUCAAAACGCAGCGCAAAUGACUCUUGUUUCUUGGAAGUGUUCAUUUGGUUGCACUCGUUCCUCGAAUCCGACAAAAGCUCUAAUCUAUCAAGGAUUGAAACAAAAUAAUCAUCAAUCAAUACUAAUAACUUGUUUAUUUGGCCAUUUGAUGUACAACUAUAUCCAUCACCUAAACAUUUGCACAUCACCAUCAAUUUGGAUCCCAAUUCAGGCUCAAUUGGUAAUGAAAAUUGUCAUUGUUGGUGAAGCUUGGACAGCUAAUUCAGCUUAAUUGAAACAAGAGAUUUUAAUUGAAAGUUAUGGCGAUAUUUCACUUGGAAAUUGGUUUAAUUUAAAUUUCGAUGUAUUUUUGUGUUUUACUUUCUUCUGCAAAGUAGAUCACAAUUAAUGUUACAUUCAUUUUAAGCUGCCAAUUGAAUUUAAUCAUUUAUAUUUCAUACUCAACAUUGCACAAAUAUUGAGGCUCAAUACAAAAGAUGAAAAGAAACAAAACAACAACAAGAUCAACAAAUAAUCAAUUGAUUACAACUUCCUGCCUUUUUCAUCAAAAGUAAAGUGCAAAAGAAAUUAAAUUUUCAUCAAAAUCAGUCUUAAUUUUGGGCCGAUGAUCACCCAUUAACCAUGCCAUCUUUAUCCCCAUCAUAAUCAUCGUCAUCGCCAUCAUAAUUAUCUUCAUCAAUCAUUUAAUAAGCUGAUAAAACAUCUCCAAAUAAUUGUUAAAUAUUGGUUUGCAAUAUUUUGCUUUCUCUUCCUCCUCUCCACAUCAAAAUAGAUUGUUUAACAAUUUAAACAAUUUAAAUGCAAAGAUGGUUGGUGAAAUUCAUAUUCAAUUGCUCUACUAGAUUCAGUCUAAUCAUAUUUCACAAAAUUGAUCAAACAACUUCCACUACAGCUGACCAAAAGUCACAAAUAAACUAACCAUUAGCAUUUGGAAAACAAAAUUUCUGAUAAAUUAAGUAACAAUUGAUUCCAACAUUCUGAUCAAAUAACACUUUUAACUUUUCAACACAAUCAAGUGAACCUUUUAUUGGCUUAAUUGUUCUUAAACUUUCCGAUAACUGUCUUCGCUAUUUAAAAGACCAACAGAUUGUUAGUUUGAAUAGAGGAAAACAUUUUAAACCAAUUCUUGAUUAGGUAAAUAAAGAUGUAUAACAUUAAAUUGUUUAACAUAAAAAACCCAAAAUAGUCUUUUAAUAAGUAUUAAAAUUCAACAAAUUUAAUAAUUAUAUGACUGUUUCUCAAUCUCCAUUAAAUUAUCAUCUCAAUUGAAAAAUUAA